CCUACGGGGGGCAGCAGUGGGGAAUAUUGGACAAUGGGCGAAAGCCUGAUCCAGCCAUGCCGCGUGUGUGAAGAAGGCCUUCGGGUUGUAAAGCACUUUCAGUGGGGAAGAAAGCCUUGGGGCUAAUACCCUCGAGGAAGGACAUCACCCACAGAAGAAGCACCGGCUAACUCCGUGCCAGCAGCCGCGGUAAUACGGAGGGUGCGAGCGUUAAUCGGAAUUACUGGGCGUAAAGCGCGCGUAGGCGGUCUGAUAAGCCGGUUGUGAAAGCCCCGGGCUCAACCUGGGAACGGCAUCCGGAACUGUCAGGCUAGAGUGCAUGAGAGGAAGGUAGAAUUCCCGGUGUAGCGGUGAAAUGCGUAGAGAUCGGGAGGAAUACCAGUGGCGAAGGCGGCCUUCUGGACUGACACUGACGCUGAGGUGCGAAAGCGUGGGUAGCAAACAGGAUUAGAUACCCUAGUAGUC
rnacentral:rRNA from 1 species